rnacentral:rRNA from 1 species
AUUUUGUGGCCAAGCUAUUAAGAGCAAACGGUGGAUGCCUUGGCGUCAAGAGGCGAUGAAAGACGUGGAAAGCUGCGAUAAGCUUCGGUUAGCUGCUAAACAAGCUUUGAUCCGGAGAUUUCUGAAUGGGGAAACCCGUUUGAGGUAGUGCUCAAACAUCUUCAGCUGAAUACAUAGGCUGUUGAGGCAAACGAGGUGAACUGAAACAUCUUAGUAACCUCAGGAAGAGAAAACAACAGUGAUUUCCUAAGUAGCGGCGAGCGAACGGGAAUUAGCCCAAACCGAAUAUAUGUUAAAGCCCGGAAGCGUUGUAUAUUUGGGGUCGUGGGAUUUAAUUGGACAAAGUUCCGGCUUUGUCGGAAAGUUACAAAACUGAUGUAUAGUCGAAUGUUCUGGAAAGAACAACCAUAGACGGUGAUAGUCCGGUAGACGAAAUGCAUCAGACUUUUCGGAUUAGACACCCAAGUACCGCGGGACACGUGGAACCCUGUGGGAAUUUAUGAGGACCAUCUCAUAAGGCUAAAUACUACUUGACGACCGAUAGUGAACCAGUACCGUGAGGGAAAGGUGAAAAGUACCCCGGUGAGGGGAGUGAAAUAGUACCUGAAACCGUUUGCUUACAAGCAGUGGGAGCACGAUGAUUAAAGUCUUGUACUUUUUUCCGUGUGACCGCGUGCCUUUUGCAUAAUGAGUCAGCGAGUUACUUUACGUAGCAAGGUUAAGCCGUCAGGUGUAGCCGUAGCGAAAGCGAGUCUUAACAGGGCGACCAGUUGCGUGGAGUAGACCCGAAACCAAGUGAUCUAUCCAUGGCCAGGGUGAAGCGCCAGUAAAAUGGCGUGAAGGCCCGAACCGUUGUAGGUUGAAAACUACUCGGAUGAGCUGUGGAUAGGGGUGAAAGGCCAAACAAACUUGGAAAUAGCUGGUUCUCCCCGAAAUAUAUUUAGGUAUAGCCUUGCGUAAUUAAGUGACGGGGGUAGAGCACUGGAUGGGCUAGGGGUCCUACCAGAUUACCAAACCUAACCAAACUCCGAAUACCGUUAACUUUUAUCGCAGGAGUCAGACUGCGGGAGCUAAGUUCCGUGGUCGAGAGGGAAACAGCCCAGAUCGCCGGCUAAGGUCCCUAAAUGUGUGCUAAGUGGGAAAGGAUGUGGAAAUGCACAGACAACCAGGAGGUUGGCUUAGAAGCAGCCAUCCUUUAAAGAAAGCGUAACAGCUCACUGGUCGAGUGAGUCUGCGCCGAAGAUGUAACGGGGCUAAAGCACACUACCGAAGCCGCGGGAUGUAUAUUUAUAUACAUCGGUAGGGGAGCAUUCUGUACGGGCAGAAGGUUGACCGUAAGGACGGCUGGACUGUACAGAAGAGACCAUGCUGACAUGAGUAACGAUAAAGCGGGUGAAAAACCCGCUCGCCGAAAACCUAAGGAUUCCUGAGUAAAGCUAAUCUGCUCAGGGUUAGUCGAUCCCUAAGCCGAGGCCGAAAGGCGUAGGUAAUGGAAAACAGGUUAAUAUUCCUGUACCACCAGUUUAUCGUUUGAGUGAUGGGGGGACGCAGAAGGGUAGAUCAGCCACCGGUUGGAUGUGGUGGUUUAAGCUUGUAGGCUGAAAGGACAGGCAAAUCCGUCCUUUUAUUCAAUGCCGAGAGGUGAUGACGAGAGACUUAGUCUCACAAAGUGAUUAAUCCCAUACUGCCAAGAAAAGCCUCUAGCGAGAUAAACAGGUGAUCGUACCGCAAACCGACACAGGUAGGUAGGGAGAAAAUCCUAAGGCGCUUGAGAGAACCCUGGUUAAGGAACUCGGCAAAAUAACACCGUAACUUCGGGAGAAGGUGUGCCCUCAUUAGGUGAAGCGUUUUACAUGCCAAGCUGAGGGGGGCCGCAGAGAAAUGGCGGUAGCGACUGUUUACUAAAAACAUAGGACUCUGCUAAGUCGCAAGACGAUGUAUAGGGUCUGACGCCUGCCCGGUGCCGGAAGGUUAAGGGGCUUUGUUAGCAGACUUGUCUGCGAAGCUUUGAGCCGAAGCCCCGGUCAACGGCGGCCGUAACUAUAACGGUCCUAAGGUAGCGAAAUUCCUUGUCGGGUAAGUUCCGACCUGCACGAAUGGCGUAACGACUUCCGCACUGUCUCAACUAGGGACUCAGCGAAAUUG